CAGCGCCACGAGUGGCAAUCAUGUUUAUUUGGCCUAAAGCGUCCGUAGCUGGUUAAGUAAAUCUCUUGUGAAAUCGUUUCGCUCAACGAAACGGCGUGCAGGAGAGACUGCUUGGCUAGAGACCGGGAGGAGUCAGAGGUAUGCUGGGGGGAGCGGUAAAAUGCUAUAAUCCCCGGUAGACCACCUGUGGCGAAGGCGUCUGACUAGAGCGGGUCUGACAGUGAGGGACGAAAGCCAGGGGAGCAAACCGGAUUAGAGACCCGAGUAGUCC
rnacentral:rRNA from 1 species